CAUAUUCUCUAAGGAGGAAAGCAGGGGAUCGAAAGACCUUGUGCUUUUGGAGCGGCCGAUGUCUGAUUAGCUAGUUGGUGGGGUAAAGGCCUACCAAGGCUUCGAUCAGUAGUUGGUCUGAGAGGACGACCAGCCACACUGGGACUGAGACACGGCCCAGACUCCUACGGGAGGCAGCAGUGGGGAAUUUUGGACAAUGGGCGCAAGCCUGAUCCAGCCAUGCCGCGUGAGUGAAGAAGGCCUUCGGGUUGUAAAGCUCUUUCAGUYGGGAAGAAAAGGUUGUGACUAAUAAUUGUAACUUAU
rnacentral:rRNA from 1 species